CAGCAGCUGCCAUCUCAAGCCAUACCAUUAAAAAAGCUUGAAGCUAUUCCAAUCGCUGAUGAAACUCUGCUGAAUUUUUCCAAUAAUGCUUAUUCAACAUUGUUGAUAAAAGGAAUGACAAUGAAGUUUCACUACCUCAAGUAGAAGCUAUCGCUGGGCCUAGUAACUCGGAUUCAUUCAUGCCUGGACAGCAGCUGCCAUCUCAAGCCAUGCCAUUACAAAAGCUUGAAGCUAUUCCAAUCACUGAUGAAACUCAGCUGAAUUUUUCCAAUAAUGCUGAUUCAAACAUUGUUGAUAAAAGGAAUGACAAUGAAGUUUCACUACCUCAAGUAGAAGCUAUCGCUGGGCCUAGUAACUCGGGCGUAUCUCAAGAGCAAUGGCAUCGUGCAUCAAACCACUGUUCCUGGCUCCGCUGCUCAGAACGGGGUCGCAGAACGCGCGAACAGGACCGUGAUGCAGGCUGCAAGAUGCGGGCCUAAGCAACGAAUUCUGGGCGGAGGCCGUUAACACGCGUCAAAAACCGCUGUCCUACGAAAGCUGUACUGGGGAGCACUCCCGAAGAAAAGUGGAGUGGGAAAAAGGUAUCUCUAAGUCAUUUACGUAUCUUUGGUUCUGUGGCUUAUGCGAUGACUUUGAUGCGUUCAAAAUUAGAUCCGAAAGGCAAAAAGUACAUUUUUGUUGGGUAUUGUCAGCAUACAAAGGGUUAUUAUAAUAGUGACGGAAAUAUAAUAAUGUGAUAUAUUUUUAGAACCGGCUCUGAAUGCCCUUUCAUUUAAUACCACACACGAUUGGUUUCUGAACAAAAAAGUUUUUUUUUCCAUACAAAAAAAGAUGACGUCAUAACUCUUCUACUUUUUUUUCUUUUGGUGCUACGGGUCAAAUUGAUUCAAAUGGUCUAAAGAUAAAUCGUACCGAUUUUCAUACCUUUAACACCAUUUGCAGCUAAUUCCCGAAUUUCAGGCUGUACCGCUAACACUAGUAGUGAGUGGUAAAUCAUAAAUCAUUUAUUUUUCGUGAUAAACUUAUUUUACAUACAAAAGUAACAAUGAUAAGGUUAGACAUAGGUACAUAAUUACAUAUUGUUUACCAUGAAAUGGGCUCGCCUCAGCAUAAUGCCGACCCGAGAGUCGGCGCUGGUCUUCCGGCGAGUCCAUUUUUGUGGGCCACGAUCACAGCUGUGGUACGUCUGAUGAUGCCAAUUUGACAUAAAAUUCUCAGAGUACGAGCGAUCGAACGAGUACGGUCAUAAUACAUGAUUCGUCUAGCUCAGGUGAAUGUGAUGAUCCGGCCGAUGCAACUUAUAUUCCAGAGGAGGAGAGUACGGAUACUUCGGACAGUUCAACGGGUUCUCCACAUUUUGGAUUCCUAGCGGGCACGUCCAAUCCAGAUGCUCCACUAUACAAGAAGCACUGAGUGGUCCAGACGCUGACAAUUGGAGGGAAGCAAUGUCUUAGACCCACUGGAAAGCAGCCAAAAGAGUCUUGCGCUACUUGAAAGGUACCUUGGAUCUCCGUUUGACUUUUAAGAAAAGCAAGCAGCAGCUGGAUAUCACUGGAUAUGCGGAUGCAGACUGGGGCAGUGACGACGUAGAC